rnacentral:tRNA from 1 species
GGUUUCGUGGUGUAGUUGGUAUCACACCCGGCUGUAAUGUUCAGAUCACCGGUUGGUCACCAGUUCGACUCUGGUCGAAGGGA